ACUUACAAAAGGCGAGUUCGGACUGAAAAUCCGUGUGUCGCGGGUUCAACUCCCGCCCUGCCCA
rnacentral:tRNA from 1 species